GGGGAUGUGGCUCAAUGGUAGAGCAUUUGCCUGGAGUGCAUGAGGCCCUGCGUUCAAACCUCAGCACCACCA
rfam:Ictidomys tridecemlineatus contig069952, whole genome shotgun sequence.